GACUCGGUCUCAGUUCAGAUUGCAGGCUGCAACUCGCCUGCAUGAAGUUGGAAUUGCUAGUAAUCGCGAAUCAGAAUGUCGCGGUGAAUACGUUCCCGGGCCUUGUACACACCGCCCGUCACACCAUGAGAGUCGAUAACACCCGAAGCCUGUGAGCUAACCUUUUAGGAGGCAGCAGUCGAAGGUGGGGUUGAUGAUUGGGGUGAAGUCGUAACAAGGUAAC
rnacentral:rRNA from 1 species